ensembl:lncRNA
GGUUUACGAGCUUUGCAGUAUCGUUUAAUUGAAAGAACGAUAGUGUACGUAGCUGGUUAAUGAAAGGAUGUUCGGAGGAAGUAAGGUCACAGGAAGUGAGACUACAGCUCAAGUGGCACGUAAGUGUAAAACGAUGACAUCACGCGCCGUGCAGCCUGCGCUGAUACAGCGUCGAACGUCCACAUCCCAGCAGAGAACAAAAGCGAGUGCGCUCGUCUUUCGCUUCUUCACAAAGGCCCACGUUAACAAAACAAACCGAGUACGCCGCGCUGUACGGUACAUUCCACAGCACGUGACCUACAGCAUGUGUUGGCAUGCGCUGAUGUGCCUUCAGCAUCCAAAAAGCAUGAGCUCAUAACCUACAGACGCCAUAAAAUAAUCAUUAAAAAAAAAAAAAAAGUGCAGUGAUUUCACUAGCCACGUCUACA